AUACAUGCAAGUCGAGCGGACAGAAGGGAGCUUGCUCCCGGAUGUUAGCGGCGGACGGGUGAGUAACACGUGGGUAACCUGCCUGUAAGACUGGGAUAACUCCGGGAAACCGGAGCUAAUACCGGAUAGUUCCUUGAACCGCAUGGUUCAAGGAUGAAAGACGGUUUCGGCUGUCACUUACAGAUGGACCCGCGGCGCAUUAGCUAGUUGGUGAGGUAACGGCUCACCAAGGCGACGAUGCGUUAGCCGACCUGAGAGGGUGAUCGGCCACACUGGGACUGAGACACGGCCCAGACUCCUACGGGAGGCAGCAGUAGGGAAUCUUCCGCAAUGGACGAAAGUCUGACGGAGCAACGCCGCGUGAGUGAUGAAGGUUUUCGGAUCGUAAAGCUCUGUUGUUAGGGAAGAACAAGUGCAAGAGUAACUGCUUGCACCUUGACGGUACCUAACCAGAAAGCCACGGCUAACUACGUGCCAGCAGCCGCGGUAAUACGUAGGUGGCAAGCGUUGUCCGGAAUUAUUGGGCGUAAAGGGCUCGCAGGCGGUUUCUUAAGUCUGAUGUGAAAGCCCCCGGCUCAACCGGGGAGGGUCAUUGGAAACUGGGAAACUUGAGUGCAGAAGAGGAGAGUGGAAUUCCACGUGUAGCGGUGAAAUGCGUAGAGAUGUGGAGGAACACCAGUGGCGAAGGCGACUCUCUGGUCUGUAACUGACGCUGAGGAGCGAAAGCGUGGGGAGCGAACAGGAUUAGAUACCCUGGUAGUCCACGCCGUAAACGAUGAGUGCUAAGUGUUAGGGGGUUUCCGCCCCUUAGUGCUGCAGCUAACGCAUUAAGCACUCCGCCUGGGGAGUACGGUCGCAAGACUGAAACUCAAAGGAAUUGACGGGGGCCCGCACAAGCGGUGGAGCAUGUGGUUUAAUUCGAAGCAACGCGAAGAACCUUACCAGGUCUUGACAUCCUCUGACAACCCUAGAGAUAGGGCUUUCCCUUCGGGGACAGAGUGACAGGUGGUGCAUGGUUGUCGUCAGCUCGUGUCGUGAGAUGUUGGGUUAAGUCCCGCAACGAGCGCAACCCUUGAUCUUAGUUGCCAGCAUUCAGUUGGGCACUCUAAGGUGACUGCCGGUGACAAACCGGAGGAAGGUGGGGAUGACGUCAAAUCAUCAUGCCCCUUAUGACCUGGGCUACACACGUGCUACAAUGGACAGAACAAAGGGCUGCGAGACCGCAAGGUUUAGCCAAUCCCACAAAUCUGUUCUCAGUUCGGAUCGCAGUCUGCAACUCGACUGCGUGAAGUCUGGAAUCGCUAGUAAUCGCGG
rnacentral:rRNA from 1 species